GUACACGUUUGGUGGAGGAACCAGACUGGAGUUUGGAAGUGAUGCCCGUCCCACCCUGACAGUGCUGCCCCCCUCCAGUGAGGAGCUGCAGCAGGGGAAGGCCACCCUCAUGUGUCUGGCCAACAAGGGCUUCCCCUCAGACUGGAGUCUGUCCUGGAAGGUGGACGACAGCAGCAGCAGCAGCAGCAGCAGCUGGGAGCAGAGCAGGAGCCCCGGGGUGCUGCAGAAGGACGGCCUCUACAGCUGGAGCAGCACCCUGAGGCUCCCUGCAGACCAGUGGAGGAAGGUGGGCUCUGUGACCUGUGAGGCCUCCAAGGGCUCCCAGCCUGCAGUCACACAGACGCUGACCAGAGACCAGUGUUCCCAGUCCUGAGCUCAUUCAGGGAUUUGCUAAAGAUUUAUUCUGCUACAGAGCGCUUGCUUU